UACGUAGGGUGCGAGCGUUGUCCGGAAUUAUUGGGCGUAAAGAGCUCGUAGGCGGCUCGUUGCGUCGGCUGUGAAAACUCACAGCUUAACUGUGGGCGUGCGGGCGAUACGGGCAGACUGGAGUACUGCAGGGGAGACUGGAAUUCCUGGUGUAGCGGUGGAAUGCGCAGAUAUCAGGAGGAACACCGGUGGCGAAGGCGGGUCUCUGGGCAGUAACUGACGCUGAGGAGCGAAAGCGUGGGGAGCGAACAGG
rnacentral:rRNA from 1 species